CAGUAGCCACGGUAAUACGAAGGGGGCUAGCGUUGUUCGGAAUUACUGGGCGUAAAGGGCGCGUAGGCGGCCAUUCAAGUUAGAUGUGAAAGCCCUGGGCUCAACCUAGGAAUUGCAUUUGAUACUGUUUGGCUUGAGUUCGGGAGAGGUGAGUGGAAUUCCCAGUGUAGAGGUGAAAUUCGUAGAUAUUCGGAAGGAACACCUGUGGCGAAAGCGGCUCACUGGACCAUUUCUGACGCUGAUGCACGAAAGCUAGGGGAGCAAACAGGAUUAGAGACCCGCGUAGUCCCUGUCUCUUAUA
rnacentral:rRNA from 1 species